GCCUCCGAUGUGCGUCCGCUGAACUUAAGCAUGGCAGCCAUUAUGCGAGCUAAGGUACACUUCCAUCAAUAAGCGCCUUAGUCGGACCCUAAUUGCGUGGCAAUUCCAGGAGACCCGCAUAUAUCCACCGCCAAUGGACGGCCUUUUAACGCGGCGAAGUUUCCGCUCAGGAUUAUUCCUUGGAAUAGGACGUCAUAGAGGGUGAAAAUCCCG
rnacentral:rRNA from 1 species